UACGGGGGGGGCAAGCGUUGUUCGGAAUUACUGGGCGUAAAGGGCUCGUAGGCGGCCAACUAAGUCAGACGUGAAAUCCCUCGGCUUAACCGGGGAACUGCGUCUGAUACUGGAUGGCUUGAGGUUGGGAGAGGGAUGCGGAAUUCCAGGUGUAGCGGUGAAAUGCGCAGAUAUCAGGAGGAACACCGGUGGCGAAGGCGGGUCUCUGGGCCGAUAUUGACGCUGAGGAGCGAAAGCGUGGGGAGCGAACAGG
rnacentral:rRNA from 1 species